ensembl:snoRNA
CUGCACUGAUGAUUGUAGAUGAGUCUGACCUGGAAUUGUCAGCCUCCGGGUCGCCUCUGUCCAGGAAAUGACUGCAGUUAAUCUUCUCUCUGAGCAG